UUUCUUUAAGUGAAUUUGAAAGUGCUAAAUGAUUAUUGACAUUUCUUGGGAGUUGCUAUAUUGGCAAUAGCAUUGAAGACGUAUUUGGCAGAAGAGGUUUGAUGGUUUGUGGUUUGAUUGAUUAAUUCUUUUUCCUUGUAAAAUUGGAUUAUCAAAAGCUUAUUAAAAUUUAAAUUUUGUUGUUAUUUCUCUCUUACAAGAAAAGGUUUUGAACUUCAUUCGCCGUACUUAAGAAUUGUAAGAAUCUUGUCUUCUUGUGCCCCUUGUUUCAUUGGUAGAAAUUGUAGUGUUCUCUGGGUAAUUAUGUUAAUGCUCUUGUUCCAGCAGUAACAUUCAUUCGGCUUUUCUGAAUUCAUUUACUGUUUAGCGGAGUUGUGCAGUUCAUGGACCUUUUCUUUUAUGCUUGGUUUUGAUGACCACCAAACCAUGAAUCCAUUUUUUGUUUUCCAGUGUUUACGAGGAAAGACCAUAAAAAAUGCAGAGGGAAGGGAAAGGCAAGGUAGAAAUGAUUUCUUUGCUAUGGGUGAUCCUUUUGGCAAUUUCCCGGGCUUUGGUUUGAUGCCGAGCCUAUUUGGAGGGAGGGAUCCAUUUGAUGACUCGCUCUUCACUCUCCCUUUUGGUAGCAUGUUUGAGUCUAGCAGGUAUGAUACUCCAGUUCUACUAGCAGGGACGUAUUGCAGACCGAUAGAGCAAAGGCGUUAGUAAUAGAAGAAUUAGCGUCUGAUGAUGAGGGUGAAAAAGAAGAUGUGCAAACUGGGGAUGAGAAGAGUGACCAUCAAAACAACAUUGGUUCAAGCCAAGAGCCAUCAGUUGAGCAUCCUGAUGGUAAAAUAAAAAUUAUUAUUGGUUUAUAUCUGCUUUGUGCUAGUGAAUUGUUUUUCUUGUGUAUCAAUGAUUGAAACUGUGGUUUGUCUGAUAGAGAGGGAAAACAAGAGUGUGAAUUAUAGGAGUGAUCAUAACAGAACUGAAGGAACAAAGCCACAAAUCCGCAGUUCCAUUUUUCAGACUUGCAAAGCCACAUAUGGAGGUAUGUAUGGGGCAUAUUAUACUUCCACUAGGACCAGAAGGACAGGCGGUGAUGGAGGAACAAGAGAAAAGGAGCUUGAUGUAGCCGAGUUCAUAUCAGCCCUGGACAACUCGUGGUGAUAGCGUCCGCUAGCAUUGAUGGAUCCACCAUACUGUCAUUAGUAGCAGCUGCACAUCAAACUGGUGGCAAUGUGGUCUGUAUUAUACCAACAAAACCCAAUAUUUGUGCAUCAAGAAAUGCUCCAGGACCUUAUGCAGACUGUGUUAAGUUUGUCAUAGGAGAUGCCAAGACCCUAUUAUCAAAGGGCAACAGAGGGGCAGAUUUUGUACUUGUAGAUUGCGAUCUUCAUGAUUGCAAGGAGGUGCUUAGAGCUGCACAGGACUGCUCUUUCUUUUAUGAUUAGAAAGGGAGCUUCAAGACUAAUAACAUGGAUGUUAGUUGAUUUGAUGUAAAGACCACAUUGCAUGUAACAAGCAUCUGACUUCAUGUUCUUGAAGAAGUUGGAUGUUCUCAAUGA